CCAAGAGUAUUUUCUGUUUCUUAGACAAAACGAAAUUAACUCACAUCCCAUUGAUUUUGGACGUCUUGCUUUCGCUAUUCAAAUUCUUAUGAUUUAAUUUUUCUAUAUAUAACUACCUCAUUGGAACCCAUUUGCUCAACAUUUGUGCAAAUACAGUCUAUGACUCCUUUAUGAGUGUUCCUGAGAAAAUGUUAGUCAGUUUCUCUAUCAUGUUAGAUACUGUUUUCGAGUCUCAAUAGUUUCACACAAGUAUUGAUAUUAACAUGUAAAAAACUUCGCUCAUUUCAUUCAAAGAGAGACAUGAAAAAGAACUAUAUCGAUUAGAGCCAAAGUUUGAGAAGUUGGAAAGAUUUUGAUAUGUAGUUCAUUUGUAACCUCAAAUUUACUAGAAGUCGUUCUAAUAUUUAUGCUAAUAAAGCAUUAAUGCAUUAUUUGUAUAUUAAAUGAUUUGGAUCUGAUGAAAAUUUACAAACAAGAUUGUAUUUCAAAUUUUAUUUAUAAUUAUUUUGUGA